CAAAUUCCAGAGUCUCCGUCUCCGCCUCCCGCCCUGCUGUUCCAGAGAAUCUCCGGCCUCCCACCCAGCGCCCCUCGCCCGCCCGCCGUUCCCGUCUCCUCGACGUCGCGACCCUCGCCAAUCGCCCCCAGAUCCGAGACCCUUGCUCAGUCGCCCAGCCGUUUCCGAUACCCUCGACCCUCGCCAGUCGUUCCCGUCGUUCCGCCGCCGCCUACGACUUCGCCCCGCAGCAGCCGGCCGCACCGCCUCCGAGCUCCAACAGGCGCUGCUGCUUCUUCUUCUUCCUCUUUUUUUUUUUAAAUAAACAUAUAUGCUUUUUUUUUGUCUUGGUUUGAGAAUUGAGCAAAAAAAAUGAAAUUCUGUACAGAUUUGAAAGUUGCUACAAAUCGACGGUGGGGGUUGAAUUU
rnacentral:lncRNA from 1 species